UACGGAGGGUGCAAGCGUUAUCCGGAUUCACUGGGUUUAAAGGGUGCGUAGGUGGGCAGGUAAGUCAGUGGUGAAAUCUCCGGGCUUAACCCGGAAACUGCCAUUGAUACUAUCAGUCUUGAAUACCGUGGAGGUAAGCGGAAUAUGUCAUGUAGCGGUGAAAUGCUUAGAUAUGAUAUAGAACACCAAUUGCGAAGGCAGGUUACUGAGCCACAACUGACGCUGAGGCACGAAAGCGUGGGGAUCAAACAGG
rnacentral:rRNA from 1 species